ACGUUCGUUGGGUAGGGGAGCGUUCUGUAAGCCUGUGAAGGUGUGUCGUGAGGCAUGCUGGAGGUAUCAGAAGUGCGAAUGCUGACAUAAGUAACGAUAAAGCGGGUGAAAAGCCCGCUCGCCGGAAGACCAAGGGUUCCUGUCCAACGUUAAUCGGGGCAGGGUGAGUCGACCCCUAAGGCGAGGCCGAAAGGCGUAGUCGAUGGGAAACGGGUUAAUAUUCCCGUACUUGGUGUUACUGCGAAGGGGGGACGGAGAAGGCUAUGUUGGCCGGGCGACGGUUGUCCCGGUUUAAGCGUGUAGGUGUGUGUUCCAGGUAAAUCCGGUUCACUUUAACACUGAGGCGUGACGACGAGGCACUACGGUGCUGAAGCAACAAAUGCCCUGCUUCCAGGAAAAGCCUCUAAGCAUCAGGUAACACGAAAUCGUACCCCAAACCGACACAGGUGGUCAGGUAGAGAAUACCAAGGCGCUUGAGAGAACUCGGGUGAAGGAACUAGGCAAAAUGGUGCCGUAACUUCGGGAGAAGGCACGCUGACACGUAGGUGAAGUGAUUUACUCAUGGAGCUGAAGUCAGUCGAAGAUACCAGCUGGCUGCAACUGUUUAUUAAAAACACAGCACUGUGCAAACACGAAAGUGGACGUAUACGGUGUGACGCCUGCCCGGUGCCGGAAGGUUAAUUGAUGGGGUCAGCGCAAGCGAAGCUCCUGAUCGAAGCCCCGGUAAACGGCGGCCGUAACUAUAACGGUCCUAAGGUAGCGAAAUUCCUUGUCGGGUAAGUUCCGACCUGCACGAAUGGCGUAAUGAUGGCCAGGCUGUCUCCACCCGAGACUCAGUGAAAUUGAACUCGCUGUGAAGAUGCAGUGUACCCGCGGCAAGACGGAAAGACCCCGUGAACCUUUACUAUAGCUUGACACUGAACAUUGAGCCUUGAUGUGUAGGAUAGGUGGGAGGCUUUGAAGUGUGGACGCCAGUCUGCAUGGAGCCGACCUUGAAAUACCACCCUUUAAUGUUUGAUGUUCUAACGUGGACCCGUAAUCCGGGUUGCGGACAGUGUCUGGUGGGUAGUUUGACUGGGGCGGUCUCCUCCUAAAGAGUAACGGAGGAGCACGAAGGUUGGCUAAUCCUGGUCGGACAUCAGGAGGUUAGUGCAAUGGCAUAAGCCAGCUUGACUGCGAGCGUGACGGCGCGAGCAGGUGCGAAAGCAGGUCAUAGUGAUCCGGUGGUUCUGAAUGGAAGGGCCAUCGCUCAACGGAUAAAAGGUACUCCGGGGAUAACAGGCUGAUACCGCCCAAGAGUUCAUAUCGACGGCGGUGUUUGGCACCUCGAUGUCGGCUCAUCACAUCCUGGGGCUGAAGUAGGUCCCAAGGGUAUGGCUGUUCGCCAUUUAAAGUGGUACGCGAGCUGGGUUUAGAACGUCGUGAGACAGUUCGGUCCCUAUCUGCCGUGGGCGCUGGAGAACUGAGGGGGGCUGCUCCUAGUACGAGAGGACCGGAGUGGACGCAUCACUGGUGUUCGGGUUGUCAUGCCAAUGGCACUGCCCGGUAGCUAAAUGCGGAAGAGAUAAGUGCUGAAAGCAUCUAAG
rnacentral:rRNA from 1 species